GACGAACGCUGGCGGCGUGCUUAACACAUGCAAGUCGAACGGAAAGGCCCUGCUUUUGUGGGGUGCUCGAGUGGCGAACGGGUGAGUAACACGUGAGUAACCUGCCCUUGACUUUGGGAUAACUUCAGGAAACUGGGGCUAAUACCGGAUAGGAGCUCCUGCUGCGUGGUGGGGGUUGGAAAGUUUCGGCGGUUGGGGAUGGACUCGCGGCUUAUCAGCUUGUUGGUGGGGUAGUGGCUUACCAAGGCUUUGACGGGUAGCCGGCCUGAGAGGGUGACCGGCCACAUUGGGACUGAGAUACGGCCCAGACUCCUACGGGAGGCAGCAGUGGGGAAUAUUGCACAAUGGGCGGAAGCCUGAUGCAGUAACGCCGCGUGCGGGAUGACGGCCUUCGGGUUGUAAACCGCUUUCGCCUGUGACGAAGCGUGAGUGACGGUAAUGGGUAAAGAAGCACCGGCUAACUACGUG
rnacentral:rRNA from 1 species